CUUGAAUAAAUAUAAGAGGUCCAGCCUGCCCAGUGACUUUGUUCAACGGCCGCGGUAUCCUAACCGUGCGAAGGUAGCGUAAUCACUUGUUCUUUAAAUAAGGACUAGUAUGAAUGGCACCACGAAGGUUACACUGUCUCCUCUCUCUAAUCAGUGAAACUAAUCUCCCCGUGAAGAAGCGGGGAUAAAAAUAUAAGACGAGAAGACCCUAUGGAGCUUCAAACUAAAAGGCACUUGCCCACACAUUAAACCAAAUUUCAGAAAAUCAAUGACACCCAGGCAACAUGACCCUUAGUUUUAGGUUGGGGUGACCGCGGAGCAAAAAAUAACCUCCACAUUGAAAGGAGCCCACUCCUUAGCCCAGAGCCACACCUCCAAGCACCAAUAAAAAGACAUUAAUUGACCCAAUAUUUUGAUCAACGAAC
rnacentral:rRNA from 1 species